rnacentral:lncRNA from 1 species
AAAAUUUCAUAUAAACUACCCAUGCAAAAACAGGGCCUUUGCAGAAUAUACUUUUUAUCUUUGCCAAAUAUUUGCCAUAACCUUUGCAGAACAGUUGCAGCACAUGAUUGCUGAAUAUAUUCUGCAGACGAGUAGAAAUGGAACGAAACGUGCAACUAUUCCGCAAAGCUUUUGCAAAUAUACACAACGCACACAGAAUGCAAAUACUUCGCAAACAAUUUACAAUUCGCAGCUGAAUCUUCGGCAAAUAAAUCGCAAACUAAUAGCAAAGUAAUCGCAAAGUGAUAGCAAAGUAUUCGCAACUUGCAUGCAAAUAAUAUGCAAAGUAUUCGCAAAUACGUAAC